rnacentral:rRNA from 1 species
UAGGGAAUCUUCGGCAAUGGGGGCAACCCUGACCGAGCAACGCCGCGUGAGUGAAGAAGGUUUUCGGAUCGUAAAGCUCUGUUGUAAGUCAAGAACGGGUGUGAGAGUGGAAAGUUCACACUGUGACGGUAGCUUACCAGAAAGGGACGGCUAACUACGUGCCAGCAGCCGCGGUAAUACGUAGGUCCCCGAGCGUUGUCCGGAUUUAUUGGGCGUAAAGCGAGCGCAGGCGGUUUGAUAAGUCUGAAGUUAAAGGCUGUGGCUCAACCAUAGUUCGCUUUGGAAACUGUCAAACUUGAGUGCAGAAGGGGAGAGUGGAAUUCCAUGUGUAGCGGUGAAAUGCGUAGAUAUAUGGAGGAACACCGGUGGCGAAAGCGGCUCUCUGGUCUGUAACUGACGCUGAGGCUCGAAAGCGUGGGGAGCGAACAGGAUUAGAUACCCUGGUAGUCCACGCCGUAAACGAUGAGUGCUAGGUGUUGGAUCCUUUUCCGGGAUUCAGUGCCGCAGCUAACGCAU